UAGGGAAUCUUCGGCAAUGGACGGAAGUCUGACCGAGCAACGCCGCGUGAGUGAAGAAGGUUUUCGGAUCGUAAAGCUCUGUUGUAAGAGAAGAACGAGUGUGAGAGUGGAAAGUUCACACUGUGACGGUAUCUUACCAGAAAGGGACGGCUAACUACGUGCCAGCAGCCGCGGUAAUACGUAGGUCCCGAGCGUUGUCCGGAUUUAUUGGGCGUAAAGCGAGCGCAGGCGGUUAGAUAAGUCUGAAGUUAAAGGCUGUGGCUUAACCAUAGUAGGCUUUGGAAACUGUUUAACUUGAGUGCAAGAGGGGAGAGUGGAAUUCCAUGUGUAGCGGUGAAAUGCGUAGAUAUAUGGAGGAACACCGGCGGCGAAAGCGGCUCUCUGGCUUGUAACUGACGCUGAGGCUCGAAAGCGUGGGGAGCAAACAGGAUUAGAUACCCUGGUAGCCCACGCUGUAAACGAUGAGUGCUAGGUGUUAGACCCUUUCCGGGGUUUAGUGCCGUAGCUAACGCAUUAAGCACUCCGCCUGGGGAGUACGACCGCAAGGUUG
rnacentral:rRNA from 1 species